GGCAAUCCUCUCCGGUCCCCUUCCGGGCUGUGGGAGCUUUGUUCUUUUGCUCUUUGCAAUAAAUCUUGCUGCUGCUCGCUCUUUGGGUCCACAUUGCCUUUGUGAGCUGUAACACUCACGGCGAAGGUCUGCAGCUUCACUCCUAAAGCCAGAGAGACCACAAACCCACCGGGAGGAACGAACAACUCCAGACGCGCGGCCUUAAGAGCUGUAACACUCACCGCGAAAGUCUGCAGCUUCACUCCUAAAGCCAGCGAGACCACGAACCCACCAGGAGGAACGAACAAUUCCAGAUGCGCCGCCUUAGGAGCUGUAACACUCACCGCGAAGAUCUGCAGCUUCACUCCUGAGCCGGCGAGACCACGAACCCCACCAGAAGGAAGAAACUCCGGACACGCCGCCUUUAAGAACUAUAACACUCACGGCGAGGGUCCACGGCUUCAUUCUUGAAGUCAGUGAAACCAAGAACCCACCAAUUCCGGACACAGCAGGAUCCCACCCACAGAACCGCCAGGUGCACAGCUGCAUAUCCUCAGGGGAAAACUCCCCUCCCCUGCCACCUUACUGAUAGGCUUCACUUCCCAGAGAACUUUCCCAAUCCUGUGCAAUGCCUGAGUGGUACAUUGUAUUCUAUGAGAAUGGCGCCCCCGCCUCCAGAGUUGUGCAACAAGACUUCCAUGAAUCAAAGCCCAUCGCUGGCUGCCUCCUCUAGCCCUGCAUAGCCCAGGUACAUCUGAAAGGAGUGAGAAGUGUUUUGAGGGCUCUCCCUGUCUCUUCCUGCACCUCUCUCUUGUGAUCCCAGAAGCUACAACCUCAGCCCAGAUUAGCAGGCUGAGGGGUCAGGAGGCUGUCACUGGAGCUGUUGAGCUCAUGAACACGCCGAAGUUGCUGCGCUCCAGAAAUGUGGAAGUUGGAAUGAAGAGCCACCACUGCUGCCACCAACAUGAAGCUUGACCAAGCAAGCCAAGAAAAGAUGGCCAAGAGCCUCUGCCUUCCUUCUGCCUUCUGCAACGCAAUGGUGAGCUGCACAUCCACAACUUGAAGGGAGUCUGGGAAAUGCAGAGUUAAACUUUCUAGCCUCUCUAAGCUUUCAACUGUUACAGAAAGGCAACCCAGGAGGAGACUGGAAUAAAUGCUGAGUGCCAAUUUCCAA